CAGGACGAACGCUGGCGGCGUGCUUAACACAUGCAAGUCGAACGAUGAAGCCCUUCGGGGUGGAUUAGUGGCGAACGGGUGAGUAACACGUGGGCAAUCUGCCCUUCACUCUGGGACAAGCCCUGGAAACGGGGUCUAAUACCGGAUAACACUCGCCGAGGCAUCUCGGUGGGUUGAAAGCUCCGGCGGUGAAGGAUGAGCCCGCGGCCUAUCAGCUUGUUGGUGAGGUAGAAGCUCACCAAGGCGACGACGGGUAGCCGGCCUGAGAGGGCGACCGGCCACACUGGGACUGAGACACGGCCCAGACUCCUACGGGAGGCAGCAGUGGGGAAUAUUGCACAAUGGGCGAAAGCCUGAUGCAGCGACGCCGCGUGAGGGAUGACGGCCUUCGGGUUGUAAACCUCUUUCAGCAGGGAAGAAGCGAAAGUGACGGUACCUGCAGAAGAAGCGCCGGCUAACUACGUGCCAGCAGCCGCGGUAAUACGUAGGGCGCAAGCGUUGUCCGGAAUUAUUGGGCGUAAAGAGCUCGUAGGCGGUCUGUCACGUCGGAUGUGAAAGCCCGGGGCUUAACCCCGGGUCUGCAUUCGAUACGGGCAGACUAGAGUGUGGUAGGGGAGAUCGGAAUUCCUGGUGUAGCGGUGAAAUGCGCAGAUAUCAGGAGGAACACCGGUGGCGAAGGCGGAUCUCUGGGCCAUUACUGACGCUGAGGAGCGAAAGCGUGGGGAGCGAACAGGAUUAGAUACCCUGGUAGUCCACGCCGUAAACGGUGGGAACUAGGUGUUGGCGACAUUCCACGUCGUCGGUGCCGCAGCUAACGCAUUAAGUUCCCCGCCUGGGGAGUACGGCCGCAAGGCUAAAACUCAAAGGAAUUGACGGGGGCCCGCACAAGCAGCGGAGCAUGUGGCUUAAUUCGACGCAACGCGAAGAACCUUACCAAGGCUUGACAUCGCCCGGAAAGCAUCAGAGAUGGUGCCCCCCUUGUGGUCGGGUGACAGGUGGUGCAUGGCUGUCGUCAGCUCGUGUCGUGAGAUGUUGGGUUAAGUCCCGCAACGAGCGCAACCCUUGUUCUGUGUUGCCAGCAUGCCCUUCGGGGUGAUGGGGACUCACAGGAGACUGCCGGGGUCAACUCGGAGGAAGGUGGGGACGACGUCAAGUCAUCAUGCCCCUUAUGUCUUGGGCUGCACACGUGCUACAAUGGCAGGUACAAUGAGCUGCGAUGUCGCAAGGCGGAGCGAAUCUCAAAAAGCCUGUCUCAGUUCGGAUUGGGGUCUGCAACUCGACCCCAUGAAGUCGGAGUUGCUAGUAAUCGCAGAUCAGCAUUGCUGCGGUGAAUACGUUCCCGGGCCUUGUACACACCGCCCGUCACGUCACGAAAGUCGGUAACACCCGAAGCCGGUGGCCCAACCCCCUUGUGGGGAGGGAGCUGUCGAAGUGGGACUGGCGAUGGGACGA
rnacentral:rRNA from 1 species